rnacentral:rRNA from 1 species
UACGUAGGUGGCAAGCGUUAUCCGGAAUUAUUGGGCGUAAAGAGCGCGCAGGUGGUUGAUUAAGUCUGAUGUGAAAGCCCACGGCUUAACCGUGGAGGGUCAUUGGAAACUGGUCGACUUGAGUUCAGAAGAGGGAAGUGGAAUUCCAUGUGUAGCGGUGAAAUGCGUAGAGAUAUGGAGGAACACCAGUGGCGAAGGCGGCUUCCUGGUCUGUAACUGACACUGAGGCGCGAAAGCGUGGGGAGCAAACAGGAUUAGAUACCCCUCGUA